UACGAAGGGUGCAAGCGUUAAUCGGAAUUACUGGGCGUAAAGCGCACGUAGGCGGAUCGUUAAGUCGGGGGUGAAAUCCUGGAGCUCAACUCCAGAACUGCCUUUGAUACUGGUCGUCUAGAGAUCGGAAGAGGUGAGUGGAAUUCCCAGUGUAGAGGUGAAAUUCGUAGAUAUUGGGAAGAACACCGGUGGCGAAGGCGGGUCUCUGGGCCGAUACUGACGCUGAGGAGCGAAAGCGUGGGGGAGCGAACAGG
rnacentral:rRNA from 1 species